AGGGUUCCUGGGGGUGUGGGAGUGCGGGAGGCGACCUGCGCUUGUCCCGCGGCCUCGAGGUGACACACGCCGCCAGUCUGCGUCCCCGGCUGUCUGCGCAUCCCGUCGCGCACGUGGCCGGGCGCGCGGGGAGGUAGCGCCGGCUCCUCUGGAAGCCCUCGCAGCGGCAGCGCCCCCAGCCUCGCAGCCCCGGCGGGGGCCGAGAGCGCACCUGGCUGGAGAUGCUUCCUCCUCACCCUGGGCUCUGACCUCACGCCCGCAGCCCGAGGGCCCUCCCUGGUACCUCUGCCCUGCUGGCCGGUGCCUGGAGUGGCCCCGCCCGACUCCUGCCGUCUGACACGGUCCUGGCUGCCCUCCGGGCUCUCCAGCAGCUGCUGUCCACCUCCACCAGGGAGCCCACCUUGAUUGCUGCGACAGCCGCACUCAAAGGCUGAACAGCCGGGGUACACAUUGCCCUGGUCUGGACUUCACCCUGUCGUGCCCCUUCCCUGCUCUCUGUACAGAAGUCUGACUCACCUGUGUGGUUUGGUGCAAACCCACAGAUUGCCAACAUUGGUCCAAAGUCACCGGCCUGAGAGCAGCUCAGGGUUCCAGGACGUGAGUGGCCACCCGCCAGCCCCAGGGCUAGUGGGUUGAGAGUUGGGGGCCAGAGGGCCCAGGGGCUGGUCCUCUUGGCACUGCCAGGCGUUCUCAGUGGCCCUCAGGGGUCUAAAUAUUGUGGCAGACAUCCCCGGGCGGUCUGGUGUGACCGUCAGCGCGCACACACACUUGCCUCGGAGCUUCCAGCCUCCCCUAAGUCUGACCUCUCAUCUCUAUACAGUCACCAUCGCUGUCCCUGCGCUGACCACUCACACACCACUCCCCUGUUCAGCUCUUCUGAGGCUGUGGCUCUCGGGACUGGCCCAGGCCCACCUGCCAUCUGGGCGCCCUCUGGGGCUCGCUUCGUCGCCCGCUGCCUGGGCCCAUGCCUGUGCUCCUGGGGGCUCCUCUCUUGCCUAGCUCAUCUCUUCCUGUCCCUUGGGUCCUGAGGAUCAAAGCCAACGCGACAUUGUUUGUCCCCAGGCCCCUCCCCCUCCAGCCGCUGCUUCCCAGAGCUCUGUCCAGUUCUCUCCCGCAGUACGAGGGCAGGGUUGGGGCUGGUGGGUUAGCCUUCCCCCACCCACCACGCACCCAGCACAGGGCUCCCCCGAGAUCAGAUCCCUGGUAGGAUGACACCCCAAGCCUUCCCCUCCAGCAGUAUCCACACAGCACCUGCGAAGGAGGAGGGGCUGCUGCCCAUGUGGGUCCUCCCGGGGACCUACCUGAGGGUCCAGUGGGGCUGCCCUCUUCUGUGCUGGACACGCAGCAGAGGUGGGCAGAGAUGCUGGAGAGCACGGUAGGUCUAGGGGGUGACCACUACAGUUGAGUUCAUGUCAGUCUGGAGGGGCGAGGGUCCUCAGCCUGACAUGUCAGGCUAGUCUUCCUUGAGUCUGACAUGUCAGGCUCCAGGCCAGUCUUCCCUGAGUCAUCCUGGCCGUAGAAGACCAGGCUCUGGCGGGCAGGCACCCCACCCUGGCUCUCCCUAGGCCCCGGGUCUUGCUCUGAAACCCUCAAGUGUCCCUUAACUAAGAUCCAGGAGGACUUGCUCCUUCAGAAAGCACGGUGUGCCUGUCCUCCACGGCCCUCCUCCCGCUCACUCCAGGUGUGCUGGAGAUUCCUCCAGGCCUCCAGAUGGGAUUCCUGCCACACAGGCCUCGGUGAAAGCCUCCGGAGGGCUCCUGCGUGGGGGUCCAGCAGCCUGGCCCUGGAGUGGAGGGCAGGGCAGGGCCAGAGGCAGCCCUUUCCCUAAAGUGUGACAUCUUUGUAACCACGUCUGUCCAGACACUGGUGUAUGUUGUCGAUUUACUGUUGUACGUGCUUGUGUGUGCAGCGAGGACCCUUGCACUGACGGUGAGCUCCGUGCGGGGUCAGCAUGGUCCCCAGCCCUUCCCUCUCCCCCGGGACUGUUUGACAUUGAGGCCUCUUUUAGACUGUGUCUGGCCCAGGCCACCACAUCUGAUCUAGUUGGAGUGCUGGGGUCCCCAGUAACGCCAGAUAACCCUGCUCACCUUGUCGUGCCCCUCCCCUGCCAUUGGGCACAGCCCAGCCUGUUCCUCAGCUUGGCAAACAGAUAUGGGUCAUCCCAGUUGUGGAGCAUCUGCGCUCUGCAUACAGGGCAAGAAAAAUCUGAGAGGCCUCAGGGCCUCUCACCCUCUGCCCUGGGCCACCCCUUUCCCACAGGUCCCAUCAACACCCCACCCCCCGGCCAAGUCCCCAGCAGUGCAGGACACCAGCCCUGCCUGUUUUUUCCUGGUUCGUGGAUGGCCCAUCCAGUGGGCCCCAUGGGCAGGCCCAGCCCAUGGGCCAGAGCUGGGGCCGCUCCUGCAGAUAGGAGGUGAGCCAGGAGGUGGGCGUGGCGGGGUCUUGGUGCGGGAGCCGCUCCACCUGGGUACUGACUGCAGAGGGCCCAGCCCAGCCCCUUCCUGUGUCCUCCCACCCCCCACCCCACCUGAAGCUCAGGCCGGCAUGGCAUGGGUGCCUCCUUCCCUUGGGCUAUCCUGCUGAGAGGGGCAGCCUU
rnacentral:lncRNA from 1 species